rnacentral:misc_RNA from 1 species
GAUGAAGAACGUAGCGAAAUGCGAUACGUAAUGUGAAUUGCAGAAUUCCGUGAAUCAUCGAAUCUUUGAACGCACAUUGCGCCCGCCAGUAUUCUGGCGGGCAUGCCUGUUCGAGCGUCAUUUCAACCCUCAAGACCCCUUCGGGGGACUUGGUGUUGGGGACCGGCACAGGGGCCUGCCUGCUUGUCUUGCAGCGCCCUCGCCGCCCCCGAAAUGAAUUGGCGGCCUCGUCGCGGCCUCCCCUGCGUAGUAGCACAACCUCGCAACGGGAACGUGACGGCGGCCACUGCCGUAAAACAACCCCAAUUUUAUUAGAGUUGACCUCGAAUCAGGUAGGAAUACCCGCUGAACUUAAGCCUAUCAAUAAGCGGAGGA